GUAGCCUCCAGAGCUCCUCUUUGAGAUGGAAAUUUACUUUACUUCUCUCUUGGCAGUUUAGACUAUUUGGUAAUUGGAGUCUUCUCAUUUGGCUUCUCCACAUUCCUGGUACAGCAUAUGAUGUACCAUGGCUGAAACAAGGCAUCUCAGCUCUUCAACUGCUGCAUGUGGGGUUGCUCCUCCAGAAGGCUUAGCUUCAGUCACCCAGCUUCAGCUCUCUUCACAAGACUUUCCCCUCUCUUUUAUGGUAGAUGUCUGCUGUAGCAGUGACUUUUUGAAAUAGCUGACACCUAGCUUUGUAAA